CUCACUUUGACUGUACUCCAGGAG
rnacentral:piRNA from 1 species